UGUAUUAAAUAAAGAGGACUGUA
rnacentral:piRNA from 1 species